AUCCUAGGGUCUAAAAGUUACACCGCCUUUGUACUAGGGCUGGUGUCACUAGCACAUAUGACGUCAGCCCUCACGAAUCCUUCCUCUGCAAUGAAUUGUUGGGGGUAUUAUACCGAGGACUGUAAUUUUGAUCUUUUGCACCUAUCCUCAUGCAUGUAAUCGAGCACAAGUGCACGGGGGCCACUGAUGUUACCAAAUACUUUCCCGACGUAUACAAACCCGAUGACUCUAUUUCGUCGAUUUGUGUAUCAGUAUGCUCGGGAUAUAUAUGCUCGGGAUGUCUUUCACAUGCCCGAGCUCUUAACCCAAGAGUUUAUGGAACGUCAUUCGACGUGUCCUUGGAAUUAUGUCCUCGACAUGUCCCCGACGUCAACGCCUUAUCCAAUAAGAAAUUUAUUCUGACUUAAACUCCUCAACCUAUGUCUCCUAUGCCUAGAAGAACUCUAUUAAAUAAUUGGUAUCUCAGUUAUACCACAAUUCAAACUCCUAUCUCGCGUAGGACUCAUUGGUAUAAGAUUGCAAAAUCAAGCUGUCCUAUUACAAGUGCACUACGGAAUCCUAGUAUGAACACACCACCUACCUCUAUAAAUACAAAGCCCUUGAUCAUUAUUCAGGUACGUUUUACAUAAUUUUCAGUUCAUAGCCUUACGUACAAAUUCUCUCUCUGACUUAAACAUCGGAGGGGCGACGAUGACACACCUCGACGCCUUUAUUUCAGGUACCGGAAGAUCUCGUUCGUGCUCAUUAUCAGUUGUCAAGCUCGGAAAAUCAACAGUACGAUUUUUGGUAGCAUCAUAGAUGAUUAGACUACAACACCUUUUUAGGUACUUGUGAUAUUGGUAAAUGAAGAGAGGAGGGAUAAUGGUGGCAACCUAAAGAGAAUUGAGAAUCAUAAGUGCACCAUCUAAGGAAUGGAGUCAAAAUCCACUUUUAUCUGACCAUUAAAACAUGAAAAUAUUGUUUUGCUGCUCAUUUUGGUUUAUCAACCAAAUUCAUUGCAACCAUGUAAAUUACUCUCUCUCUCUCUCUCUCUCUCUCUCUCUCUCUCUCUCUCACACACACACACACACACACAAUUUGUUCUACUUCAUUUAAGGAUAUUAUUAGUUUUAAAUAUGUUGUGUAAUAGUAUUUUUUUUAAUCAAAAUAGUUGUUUUAGCCCUGUUGUAGAUUAAAAUUUUAAAUUUCUAGUCAAAGUCGACAAUUAAAUUUAAUCACGAAAUCACAACAUCAACUUAAUUUUAUAAAAUCUACUAAAAAUCUGAUUUUAAUAUACACCAAACAUGGACUUAAUUGAAACACGUUCUUUUAUACCCAUCAAUUUUAAAUGUACAAUGUCUUUUAUUUUAUUAAAAAGAUGCAAAAACUUUAUUUUAAGAAAAUUAUAGUGUUUAUUUUGACCCGUCCAAACUCAAUUGAAGCUCGUAUAAAUUGAUGUGUUAUGUGUGCUGUUCAAUUGACAUAGAUAGCACUACAAUGGAGGUAUUUCAUAUAUAUAAAUAAAUAAAUAAUUGACAUAGAUAGCCUACUGUUGAGAUCCCCAAUACGAACCCGAUAUUUUUCAUAAUGCCUAGGUUGUAUUAAUUUUUUUUUUUUUUUUUCGAAGCGAAAUCUUUUCCACAUUUUCCACGUUUGUAAUAUGUUUUCGUUUAUCCCCUCUCCAUUCUCAACUUUCUUUCUCAAAAUGUUUCCAAAAUUUAGAAGUAUGUUUAAGAGCUUUUCCCUUCCUUCAUCCUUGUACAGAUCACUUCUUCAAAUUGUCCUCAAGCUCAAUGAUUGUCAAUUUGGUAGCACUAAUAUUUUUCUGGAAUUGAAACAUCGUUUGCUUGAGGAAAAUCGUAGACGCGAAUGUUUAAACUGCCAAAAAUUUGUUAAAAUCAUCAUUGGCGUUCAUCGAUCCAAUCUAAUCCAUUACAAUUUUAUAUGUAGUAAAAAUCACAACAAACAGAAAUAAUUGGCAAAAGAAAAUUGAAAUACGUAUGAACCAGCUCUCAAACUUAUGCAAUAGAUCUCAAACUUAUGCAAUAGAUAAUAAAAAUCCUCUAAUAACUCCUAAUUAUAACAAAGACAGUUAAAAAAUACGAAUAUAAGGAUGAAUUUCCAUCCUUGUCACAUCUCUACAAACCUGUCAGUCAAAUCAAGAGACUAAAAGGCGAAAAUAAAGCCUUGGCACAUAAUGCCUCCUUCGGGGCCCCAUUUUGGGAAAAUAAAAAUAUGUGAAAUAGUGUUUUUUUUUUUUAAAUUAGUGGUUGAAAAUGAAAGAAAAAUUUUCGAUUUACGUAUAAUAUUAUUUUAUGAAAAAUUGUUUGAUUGAAAAUAAGAGAAAAAAAUAAUAUAUAAUAGAAUUGAAAUUAAUGGGGGCUAAACAAGGACAAUGUAAAAGAAAAGUGGCUUUUAGAGUAUCUUAAUGCAUCCUGUGAAUUGAAAUUUAUGUGGCAUUUCAAUUAACAAAUUUUCAAAUCGAUGUGAUAAUUAUAAUUGAAUAAAUGAUCAGAUUUAAAAUUGUUCUUUAAUGAGUUCCAUCUAUGUUUCUUUUUUUUUUUUUUUUUUUUUUUGAUACUCAGGUGUCCCAGUUUCGCCAGACUAAAUCCUGGACCUCAAGCCUCCGGCCCCUCAUUAGCUUGAGGAAGUUAAUCGCGGGAUGUGCCAUUAUUGAUUCCCAGGUUCCUACAUGGCUUUUACUCCUUCUCCUAAGAGAGUCUCUCCACUGCCUUCCAGCACCUUACCUUCCAGAUAAAUCCCCCUUCCAAGAUGCUGCCUUCCAGGAAUCGAACCCUCCACACUAGGUUUGUAAGCCCACCAAUGCAAU
rnacentral:lncRNA from 1 species